rnacentral:lncRNA from 7 species
UAUUUUCCAACACAUGCAUUUUAUUCAUUCAUUAUAUAUAUUGAUGAUGAUUGACAUGUAUAUCGAUCAGGUAGCAGCACGGAUGGAUGCAUGCAUUUUGUACGUUUCAAUAUGGACAGCAGCACUUCCAUGGGUCACCACGUUUAUCGCAGUAGCCGCCAUUCUUAGCAGGGAAGUUGUACUCUUGGCAAACUUUGCCGCAGUGAAAUGGCGUGCAGUAUUCACGAUCGUAUGGAAAGCAGAAUGGUGGCCGCAACCUGGGGACGACGCCGCCU